rnacentral:rRNA from 1 species
UGAUGGAGUGAUUUGUCUGGGUAAUUCCGUUAACGAACGAGACAUUGACCUCCUAACUAGCGUCACAAUGCUGCUGUUGUGUGGCAGACUUCUUAGAGGAACUUUGUGUGCGCAGCAUGAGGAAGUUUGAGGCAAUAACA